UCCUCCUUCCCAUCCAUCGGCUGGACUCCUUCACCCGUGGGCUCCUCCCAAUCUCUCGUCCCAGCAGCUGGUUGCCAUCUGCUCCCGACUGCCUGCUCCCGUCGCUGCCGACCUGCUCCUCCAUGGCUUCACCGGUGAGCAAGGUAACAUCUUCUUCCCCUCUCAGCCUCUGUAGCCGUUGUGAUCUGGUACAUCUUUGAUUCAAUUUCCAAUUUCAUACAGCCAUACAUUCAAAUGUGUGAGUGUGAUCAGUGAUCAAUAUGUAUGACAGUAUGAGUCGUGAUGAUCUAUUUGGGGAGUAGUUGUAAUGUAAGUAUGUAACUACUUAAGAUUAGUAGAUGGAUGGGUUGUUCCAACUAAAUUCUUCGGACAUUCACAGAUUCACUCCAAUUACAGUAAUUUAGUAGACGGAUGGAUGGCUUGAUGUAUGCCUGUCUAUUAUAGUAAUAAUUAAUGUAUUGGUUAAAAUGUUAAUGCAGAAGCACUCCAAUUAUAGCAAUGCACUAAUAAUCCAUGGAUAUUCUGCUUAGGGUAUAUUAAAUAUUAAUUGUGGGAUGAUCUAUACAUUAAAAACUCGUUGUUUAGCAAGUUAGGUGUAGGUUAUAUUAAUUUUGGGCGGAUCUGUACGUGCAAUAGUUGUCUAGCUGGGAUUUCUUAUGCGACUGUAACAUACUCAAAAGUCCUAACAAAUCUGAUUUUCUAUGGUAUGAUCUGUAGACUGUAGAUUAAUUAUUUAAUACUACAGAUCGCUCAUUGAUACUUAUUAUGUUUGCUCAUUCAAUAUAUUUGUAGGGGUCUACGGUUGCCUCUACCGGUGCAAGUUCUCAUACUCUCAAAAGAAAUUCAGAUGACAUGGGGUGGGAGUUUGCAACCUUGAUCAAUCCUUUAGAU
rnacentral:lncRNA from 1 species